AGUGAACGCUGGCGGCAGGCCUAACACAUGCAAGUCGAGCGGCAGCGCGGGGGCAACCCUGGCGGCGAGCGGCGGACGGGUGAGGAAUUCGUCGGAAUCUGCCUUUUUGUGGGGGAUAACGUAGGGAAACUUACGCUAAUACCGCAUACGUCCUACGGGAGAAAGUGGGGGACCGCAAGGCCUCACGCAGAAAGAUGAGCCGACGACCGAUUAGCUAGUUGGUGGGGUAAAGGCCCACCAAGGCGACGAUCGGUAGCUGGUCUGAGAGGAUGAUCAGCCACACUGGGACUGAGACACGGCCCAGACUCCUACGGGAGGCAGCAGUGGGGAAUAUUGGACAAUGGGCGCAAGCCUGAUCCAGCCAUGCCGCGUGUGUGAAGAAGGCCUUCGGGUUGUAAAGCACUUUUGCCCGGAAAGAAAUCCCUGGAGCUAAUACCUUCGGGGGAUGACGGUACCGGAAGAAUAAGUACCGGCUAACUUCGUG
rnacentral:rRNA from 1 species